rnacentral:lncRNA from 1 species
AGCCUGAGCUAGUCAGAAGCAACAGUUGCUACUGCGUCCCCCGGACAUUGGGAGAAUCGUUUUCCUUGGGCAGCUGGUUCCAGACCCCCACCAGUCCUCUAGACUCCAGGCCAAUCAGUUGCUAAGGGACGUUCCUCUCUCAACCUGCACUUAUCAACAUUUUAAGCUAUAAAUUCGUCUGCAUUUCUUCAUCGUCUGUCUAUGUAGACCAUGACUCCACGGAGGCAGGUGAAGUCAAGAACCUGAACUGGCCCACCAGCUACAAAGCCAGAGCGUGCCCACCACUUCUGUACUUGCAAAAGAUGUGUUUGCAAAACGGGUCACCAGAGCCUGUGGGUGAGCAGUUGUGCAGGAGCUCACCAUUCCCAUCGCGUAUGCUGGGAAAUCAUCAAUAUACCCGCUGUCAUGGAAUUGCAGAAUCGUUAUCCAAAUGGCUUUGACUUUUACCACUACUCCCAGCCAUGCACCAGAAUUCCGAUCCAUUUCUCUGUUCCUUUUUGUGUUUCUGCAACAUGACCUCAGUUCUCUCAGGAAGCCCCAAAACCUGUGAAACUAACCUGUGCUUGCAGCUCUGCUUGCUGCCAGAAACAAAGGCUGGGAGCCAGCAACAGGAACCAGCCAGGGGAUGAGUUCAGCCCAGACGUGCUGCCUGGACCUGGAUUCCUGCCUCAGUGCAGGCCUUGACCUGAUUUCUUGCUUCAUUACCAUACUAAAAUCUCCACUCAGGGGCGAGAACUAUGCCUUGCUAGGCACAGAAGGUGCCAAGUACAAAAGAAAACACAAGAGUGUGCACACUUCAGCCCCUCCUGAAGGAACCCACCUUUUUCCAGAUCUGCCCGCCUCAGUCUCCAACUACCUGCCCUAAGGGCCCUUAAGAUCCCCUUUUACCAACCCCUGGGAGAAGGUGCUUUGCACAUGAACUCCCUUUCUCCAUUUCUUGAUCAAUGAAUAAAGUUUCUUCUCCGCUUUGCCGAUUCUGGUCUCAUUCUAUUGGCGUAAGUGGCAGGGGGCAGAGAAAGGACCCACUAGGGCCAACUCACCCCUCCAAGGGUGGGUAACAUUUGCAGCAAAACUCCUCAAGAGGUUGUUUGUCG